rnacentral:rRNA from 1 species
CCGGACCGGACCGGCCGACCGGGUACGGGUAGGUAACGUAACCGUAACGUUAGCGAACCGUAACCGUNGGCCGUGACAGAUGGAUAACCGGGAGAAAUCCCGCCUAAUACAACAUAAUGCCGGGAGGGGACAUCCCCUGCCGGCCAAAGGGGGCGACCCCGGUCACGGAUGGGCAUGCGGCGCAUUAGGUAGUUGGUGGGGCAACGGCCCACCAAGCCGACGAUGCGUAGGGGUUCUGAGAGGAAGGUCCCCCACAUUGGAACUGAGACACGGUCCAAACUCCUACGGGAGGCAGCAG